rnacentral:rRNA from 1 species
UACGUAGGUGGCGAGCGUUGUCCGGAUUUACUGGGCGUAAAGAGCGCGCAGGCGGUCGUUCAAGUCGCGUGUGAAAGCCCCCGGCUCAACUGGGGAGGGUCACGCGAUACUGAUCGACUCGAAGGCAGGAGAGGGAAGUGGAAUUCCCGGUGUAGUGGUGAAAUGCGUAGAUAUCGGGAGGAACACCAGUGGCGAAGGCGACUUCCUGGCCUGUUCUUGACGCUGAGGCGCGAAAGCUAGGGGAGCAACGGGG